CGCUGAAGGAAGCUUGUCAGCUUUUGUUGGUUUAUACUGGCCUGAAGUUUGAGAACAAGGAGACAUUAACUUUUGACUGUUUGCAGUGACAAUGUCCAGUGUGAGACAUUCAAGUGGACAGGAAAUCUGACACUAAAAGAAACAGGUGGCAGAGGAACAUUCCCAGAAAGGGACCUGGGUGAAGGGAGGACAUAGGCCAGG